CUUGACUGUAGCCUGGAAUUGGGUUCGGGCUUUUCUUGCGCAGACUAGGUGGGAGGCUAUGAAGAUUUCCUUCCGGGGAAGUUGGAGCCAACAGUGAGAGACCACUCUGGAGAGGCUAGAAUCCUCAUGGUGAUCCUUGAAUCAGGACACUUGACAGUUUCAGGCGGGCAGUUUUUCUGGGGCGGAAACCUCAUAAAAGGUAACUGAGGCGCGCAAAGGUCCCCUCAGUCUGGACGGAAAUCAGACAACGAGUGUAAAGGCAAAAGGGGGCUUGACUGCAAGACCUACAAGUCAAGCAGGAGCGAAAGCUGGCCUUAGUGAUCCGACGGUACCGCGUGGAAGGGCCGUCGCUCAACGAAUAAAAGUUA
rnacentral:rRNA from 1 species